UUGCGUACAAUCAGUAAUUUCACUUAUGAAAUGGGCGAUAAUCAGAGAAAAAUUGCCACGGAGGGCAAUUUUAGGAAGCAUAGGCAUGGAUGCCGUUGCUUCCGGCUCGUUCGGUUGAAUAUCAUUACCCAUUUCAUUAGUGAAAUCUGAUUGGAAGCUU
rfam:Lachnospiraceae bacterium 28-4 genomic scaffold acPFn-supercont1.3, whole genome shotgun sequence.